rnacentral:rRNA from 1 species
CCUACGGGGGGCAGCAGUGGGGAAUAUUGGACAAUGGGGGGAACCCUGAUCCAGCCAGGCCGCGGGUGUGAAGAAGGCCCUCGGGUGGUAAAGCACUUUCAGUGAGGAAGAACGCCUGGUGGUUAAUACCCAUCAGGAAAGACAUCACUCACAGAAGAAGCACCGGCUAACUCCGUGCCAGCAGCCGCGGUAAUACGGAGGGUGCGAGCGUUAAUCGGAAUUACUGGGCGUAAAGCGCGCGUAGGUGGCUUGAUAAGCCGGUUGUGAAAGCCCCGGGCUCAACCUGGGAACGGCAUCCGGAACUGUCAAGCUAGAGUGCAGGAGAGGAAGGUAGAAUUCCCGGUGUAGCGGUGAAAUGCGUAGAGAUCGGGAGGAAUACCAGUGGCGAAGGCGGCCUUCUGGACUGACACUGACACUGAGGUGCGAAAGCGUGGGUAGCAAACAGGAUUAGAUACCCGGGUAGUC